rfam:Gossypium raimondii chromosome 12, whole genome shotgun sequence.
AACCCAUGGUGAGGGCACCUUCUCAAUAAAUCCUUAUACCUCUCUGAUGCAUCAUAUAAUGUCUCUAAAUUGAUCUGCACAAAGGAAGAGAUAUUGUUCCUCAACUU